AGGUCGUGACGGUUUGCAAUUUUGGUGAACAUCACGCAAAUUGCACUCGUCCCGGCCUGC
rnacentral:pre_miRNA from 1 species